rnacentral:rRNA from 1 species
GAUGAACGCUGGCGGCGUGCCUAAUACAUGCAAGUCGAGCGAAUGGAUUAAGAGCUUGCUCUUAUGAAGUUAGCGGCGGACGGGUGAGUAACACGUGGGUAACCUGCCCAUAAGACUGGGAUAACUCCGGGAAACCGGGGCUAAUACCGGAUAACAUUUUGAACCGCAUGGUUCGAAAUUGAAAGGCGGCUUCGGCUGUCACUUAUGGAUGGACCCGCGUCGCAUUGGCUAGUUGGUGAGGUAACGGCUCACCAAGGCAACGAUGCGGAGCCGACCUGAGAGGGUGAUCGGCCACGCUGGGACUGAGACACGGGCCAGGCUCCUACGGGAGGCAACAGUAGGGAAUCUUCCGCAAUGGACGAAAGUCUGACGGAGCAACGCCGCGUGAGUGACGAAGGCUUUCGGGUCGUAAAACUCUGUUGUUAGGGAAGAACAAGUGCUAGUUGAAUAAGCUGACACCUUGACGGUACCUAACCAGAAAGCCACGGCUAACUACGUGCCAGCCGCCGCAGUAA